CACACGGCCUUAGAGCAAAGCGUUUCUCCUUUCCAGGGAUCCGAGAACGCACCUAGGGUGCGCGCCCGUCACACGCUAACCUGCCUGGAAAGGUGCCAGCUCCUCCGCGCCCGGCUGACUCCCAGCGUGGGCGUUUACACUGACGCAGGUCCACAGAACCCCAACUAAGCGGCUUCAAACGCGCCUGUGUGACCCACACCUCCAACAAUUAUUUCAGCGGACGGGAUGUGGGGCGAACGCCUGCAAUCCAGCACUACAGGAGGUUAAGGCAAGAGGAUCACACAGAAGAACUCCGCCUGGGCAAGUUAGGGAUUUUGAGAGACCCUGUCUCAAAAUAAAGGUGUUGGAGACGUA